GCAAGUCGAGGGGUAACAUUGGUGCUUGCACCAGAUGACGACCGGCGCACGGGUGCGUAACGCGUAUACAAUCUGCCUUGUACUGGGGGAUAGCCUUUAGAAAUGAAGAUUAAUACCCCAUAGUAUGUAAAGUUCGCAUGGGCCUUACAUUAAAGGUUACGGCAAAAGAUGAGUAUGCGUUCUAUUAGCUAGAUGGUGUGGUAACGGCACACCAUGGCAACGAUAGAUAGGGGCCCUGAGAGGGGGAUC
rnacentral:rRNA from 1 species